AUGGUGGCCGGGACAUUUUAUUUCUGUAUUUUAUUUAUUUUCUGUUGUGCAAUACUAAUCCUAAGCUAAAAUGGUUCAUGUGGAAAAUUGUGGAUCAUUUUCACUGGUCUUUUUACCGCAUGGAAGAUGAAAUUUAGUUCAAUAUUAAACACUGGGAACAUAAAUGUUGACCACUCAGCUUAUACCUUAUGUUGGUCAUGUUCCACACAUUCCAUGGAGUGAGAUAGUGAUAAUGAUCCCCAACAGAUCUACCUGCAUUCAUUUCUCCUUAUUUUUCAUUUCCAGCAUUUAUAACUUGCCUAGCCUGGUGACAGGUGCUUGUACCUGAUCUUCCUCUCCUCCAAAAAUUGAUCAUGAUCCUUGAUUCUAACCAUUUUCUUAUAUAAUUGCUCACCUGGAAUGAUGUCAGUAAUCUUCUCUCUAUCAUUAUUUCAGCCAUAGAUCUCAUCAAUAAUUUGCUACAGGUGAAAAUGCGCAAACGAUUCAUGGUGGACAAAUCUUUAGCGCAUGUUUGGCUUCAGGAUUACCAAACGUGGUGCGAUCUACGCAAGAUGGAGAAGUAUGUUGGAAGGCGCUAUCUGUCGCACGAGUCGGAUGAUGCUCGAUGGGAACAGUAUCGUAAAGACAAAAACUUGGAUACAUGGGAAACAUUAGGACACACAGGUGUGGAUAUGAGUUUUCAUAAUAGAACACCCACAGCGCCAAGCCGCAGUCGCAAUAAUGGCUGUGGUAUUAUAGAGGAACAAGUUAGUGUGAUUUGACCGAGUCGUCCAUGUUCUCCUGUCUGUUGACUGGCCCCGCUGUCUGCAUGUGAACAGACUCUGUUGUAAAGAGCACCAUACUUUUCUUCUAUCACACCAUCUUGCAUGGGAGUAUUCAGAAUGAUUUUCACAUUCUUCUCAAAUAUUUGAAAAAUUUCAGGACGAUGAAUUUUCUUAUUAAGGGUGAUUAACACAAAGCGAUAAUUUAGUAGUAGUGAUAUAAAGCAGUUGUUAAUCCUGUAUUUGUUUAUAAGAUGUAAGAAAGGCAUUUUUAGAUAUAUGAUUAUAUAUAUGAUAUAUAACAUGCAUGAGAACAGCUGUUUUGUCUACUUGCCAUGAGAUGGCACCAGAUUAUAAUCAAGACAGGCCAACAGUGGCACAAAAAAAAAAAAGCAGCAGUCUUUUAACUAAUAGUUUGGUAGCAAAGAGGAUAAGGUGAGGAAGGGUUAGUAUUUGAUAAUUGCAUUUGCUGUAUAAUUAAGUGAAUGGUGGAUUCAGAAUUCUAAUUUUUGAUGCACUUAGAUGAAGUUAACAUUAGUUAGGUUCAAGCAUCAUAGUGUUCUUUUUAUCCUUUACAUCAAUUGCUAUUGAAACAAAGUCCCCAUUUUAUCACUUACAUUUAUAUAUAUAUGUGUGUCUGUGUGUGUGUCCUUUUUCAUACUUUACCAUGAUUUGGUAAGUGUGCUACUUGCUUAUCUUUUUAUUGGCCUCAGUUGUACUUUUUUGUGCAAUAUCUUUGUUGCUUGAUUAUCUGCUAAAUAUAAAAUGUUUAAAAUUAUACUAAAAUCUGUUUAAAGGAAACAUUUUUACAUUAUUUACGCAAGCAUUAUGAAAUUCAAACAGUAGACCACAAAUAGUAGUUUGACAAAAUUACUUAGCAAUUCGAAUUUUUUAAUGAAAUGCCUUCUAAGGUUAGUUGAUAGAAUAAGGGAAAUUUGAUUUUCAAAGAUGCAAACAUUACUCUGCCAUUUCUCAGGUCUCAAGUUCCAGGCCUCUAGUCAAAAUGAAGUUAGGUUAAGUAAAAAAAAAAAA